rnacentral:tRNA from 1 species
AAGGUGUUAGCUCAAUUGGAAGAGCUCUUGCCCUGCAAGCAAGUGGUUGCGGGUUCGAGUCCCUGCACACCUUU